rnacentral:rRNA from 1 species
GAAUUCGCCCUUGAGUUUGAUCAUGGCUCAGAACGAACGCUGGCGGCGUGCCUAACACACGCAAGUCGGACGAGGUAGCAAUACCUAGUGGCGGACGGGCGAGUAAGACAUAGGUGAUCUGCCCUUUUGUGGGGGAUACCCAGCCGAAAGGUUGGCUAAUACCGCAUACGCUCUCAGGAUUAGAGGCCUGGGAGGAAAGAUUUAUCGCAGAAGGAUGAGCCUGUGGUCGAUUAGCUAGUUGGUGGGGUAAUGGCCUACCAAGGCGACGAUCGAUAGCUGGUCUGAGAGGAUGAUCAGCCACACUGGGACUGAGACACGGCCCAUACUCCUACGGGAGGCAGCAGUGGGGAAUUUUCCGCAAUGGGCGAAAGCCUGACGGAGCGACGCCGCGUGUGGGAUUUUUUUUUUCGGGUUGUAAACCACUGUCGGGAGGGACGAAGCUCUGACGGUACCUCCAAAGGAAGCACCGGCUAACUCCGUGCCAGCAGCCGCGGUAC